GAUGAACGCUAGCUACAGGCUUAACACAUGCAAGUCGGGGGGAAACGAUAGAGAAAGCUUGCUUUUUCUAGGCGUCGACCGGCGCACGGGUGAGUAACGCGUAUCCAACCUGCCCAUCACUUGGGGAUAACCUUGCGAAAGUAAGACUAAUACCCAAUGACGUCUCUAGAAGACAUCUGAAGGAGAUUAAAGAUUUAUCGGUUAUGGAUGGGGAGGCGUCGGAUUAGCUUGUUGGCGGGGUAACGGCCCACCAAGGCGACGAUCAGUAGGGGUUCUGGGAGGAAGGUCCCCCACAUUGGAACUGAGACACGGUCCAAACUCCUACGGGAGGCAGCAGUGAGGAAUAUUGGUCAAUGGACGAGAGUCUGAACCAGCCAAGUAGCGUGCAGGAUGACGGCCCUAUGGGUUGUAAACUGCUUUUAUAAGGGAAUAAAGUGAGCCACGUGUGGCUUUUUGCAUGUACCUUAUGAAUAAGGACCGGCUAAUUCCGUGCCAGCCGCCGCAGUAA
rnacentral:rRNA from 1 species